CCUACGGGAGGCAGCAGUGAGGAAUAUUGGUCAAUGGACGAAAGUCUGAACCAGCCAUGCCGCGUGCAGGAUGACGGCUCUAUGAGUUGUAAACUGCUUUUGUAUUAGGGUAAACACCCCUACGUGUCGGGGCUUGAAAGUAUAAUACGAAUAAGGAUCGGCUAACUCCGUGCCAGCAGCCGCGGUAAUACGGAGGGUGCAAGCGUUGUCCGGAAUCAUUGGGCGUAAAGAGUUCGUAGGCGGUAUGUUAAGUCUGGUGUUAAAUGCAGAAGCUCAACUUCUGUUCGGCACUGGAUACUGGCAAACUAGAAUGCGGUAGAGGUAAAGGGAAUUCCUGGUGUAGCGGUGAAAUGCUUAGAUAUCAGGAGGAACAUCGGUGGCGUAAGCGCUUUACUGGGCCGUAAUUGACGCUGAGGAACGAAAGCCAGGGUAGCAAAUGGGAUUAGAUACCCCUGUAGUC
rnacentral:rRNA from 1 species